CGGAGUAACGCGUGAGCAACCUGUCCUUCAGAGGGGGACAACGGCUGGAAACGGCCGCUAAUACCGCAUGACAUAUCCGGAUGGCAUCGUCUGGAUAUCAAAGGAGAAAUCCGCUGAAGGGUGGGCUCGCGUCCGAUUAGCUAGUUGGUAGGGUAACAGCCUACCAAGGCGACGAUCGGUAGCCGAACUGAGAGGUUGAUCGGCCGCAUUGGGACUGAGACACGGCCCAGACUCCUACGGGAGGCAGCAUG
rnacentral:rRNA from 1 species